UACGUAGGGCGCAAGCGUUGUCCGGAAUUAUUGGGCGUAAAGGGCUCGUAGGCGGUCCAUCGCGUCGGGAGUGAAAAGCUGGGGCUUAACCCCAGUCCUGCUUUCGAUACGGGUGGACUAGAGGUAGGCAGGGGAGAAUGGAAUUCCUGGUGUAGCGGUGAAAUGCGCAGAUAUCAGCAGGAACACCGGUGGCGAAGGCGGUUCUCUGGGCCUUACCUGACGCUGAGGAGCGAAAGCAUGGGGAGCAAACAGG
rnacentral:rRNA from 1 species